rnacentral:rRNA from 1 species
UACGGGGGGGGGCAAGCGUUGUCCGGAAUUACUGGGCGUAAAGAGCUCGUAGGUGGUUUGUCGCGUUGUUCGUGAAAACUCACAGCUUAAACUGUGGGCGUGCGGGCGAUACGGGCAGACUGGAGUACUGCAGGGGAGACUGGAAUUCCUGGUGUAGCGGUGGAAUGCGCAGAUAUCAGGAGGAACACCGGUGGCGAAGGCGGGUCUCUGGGCCGAUACUGACGCUGAGGAGCGAAAGCGUGGGGAGCGAACAGGG